rnacentral:rRNA from 1 species
GCCCUUAGAGUUUGAUCCUGGCUCAGAUUGAACGCUGGCGGCAGGCCUAACACAUGCAAGUCGAGCGAGAAAGCACUUCGGUGCGAGUACAGCGGCGGACGGGUGAGUAACGCGUAGGAAUCUACCCGGUAGUGGGGGACAACUUGUGGAAACGCAAGCUAAUACCGCAUACGCCCUAUGGGGGANAGCGGGGGAUCUUCGGACCUCGCGCUAUCGGAUGAGCCUGCGUAGGAUUAGCUAGUUGGUGGGGUAAAGGCUCACCAAGGCGACGAUCCUUAGCUGGUCUGAGAGGAUGAUCAGCCACACUGGAACUGAGACACGGUCCAGACUCCUACGGGAGGCAGCAGUGGGGAAAUAUUGCGCAAUGGGCGAAAGCCUGACGCAGCCAUGCCGCGUGUGUGAAGNAAGGCCUUAGGGUUGUAAAGCACUUUCAAUUUGGGAAGNAAAAGUUUGUCGUUAAUAACGGCAAGCCCUGACAUUACCUUUAGAAGNAAGCACCGGCUAACUCCGUGCCAGCAGCCGCGGUAAUAAGGGCG